AUCUUAGAAAUCGGGGGAACUCAUAUUUUGGGCCUGACUUUAGGAGAUGUGCGUGGGCUCCUAAACUCCUGCCCCCAUCCAAUCCGCAUCAAGACAGUGUCUCCAGGCUCAACUCUAUGCAAGGAUCUAAGGUUAUACCUUAGCAAAUGUUUCACACCAGGUUCAAUAGACAGUCAACUCCAGCAGGUGAUCCGAGAAAACCUCUACUUGAGAGCUGUGCCCUGUACGACUAGACAGCCACGAGACGGUGAGAUCACGGGAGUCGACUAUAACUUUGUCUCCGUUGAGGAGUUCUUCUCGCUGGAGGAGUCGGGGGCACUGUUGGAGAGCGGGAAGUUCAAAGGUCAGCCUCAUACCUGAAUAAUUCAUGAAUAUAAAGAAGAGGAAGUAUAGAAUUACAGUGCAACUUAAUUAUUUCAUUACUUGUUGUUGAAUGUUCCUUGGAUGUUUUUUAAGGUCAUGCGUUAGAUCUAUGGGGCUUUGUAUCCAGUGUUGAUCUAUUGAUUCACAGUUCUAAGAGCUCCAUUUACACACAUCAACAUGCAUCAACACAGCUGU